GAUGAACGCUAGCGGGAGGCCUAACACAUGCAAGCCGAGCGGGAUUUGAGACUAGCUUGCUAGUCUUAAUGAGAGCGGCGUACGGGUGCGGAACACGUGUGCAACCUGCCUUUAUCUGGGAGAUAGCCUUUCGAAAGGAAGAUUAAUAUCCCAUAAUAUAAUGAUUGGCAUCAAUUAUUAUUGAAAGCUCCGGCGGAUAGAGAUGGGCACGCGCAAGAUUAGAUAGUUGGUGAGGUAACGGCUCACCAAGUCGAUGAUCUUUAGGGGGCCUGAGAGGGUGAUCCCCCAGCCUGGUACUGAGACACGGACCAGACUCCUACGGGAGGCAGCAGUGAGGAAUAUUGGACAAUGGGUGAAAGCCUGAUCCAGCCAUCCCGCGUGAAGGAUUAAGGACCUAUGGUUUGUAAACUUCUUUUCUACAGGGAUAAACCUACUCUCGUGAGAGUAGCUGAAGGUACUGUAGGAAUAAGCACCGGCUAACUCCGUGCCAGCCGCCGCCGUAAUAC
rnacentral:rRNA from 1 species